UGGUCAAGUUAUUAAGGGUGCAGGGCGGAUGCCUUGGCACUAGGAGCCGAUGAAGGACGUGAUAAGCUGCGAUAAGCUUCGGGGAGUUGCACGUAAACUUUGAUCCGAAGAUUUCCGAAUGAGGAAACUCACUUAGAGUAAUGUCUAAGUAUCAUUAAGUGAAUACAUAGCUUAAUGAGGGGAACUCAGGGAACUGAAACAUCUAAGUACCUGAAGGAAGAGAAAGAAAUUCGUUUCCGUAAGUAGCGGCGAGCGAACGCGGAUUAGCCCAAACCAAUAAAGUUUUCUUUAUUGGGGUUGCGGACAUAUCAUAACGAAGAGGUAUCGUAAUUGAAGAGGUUUGGAAAGACCCACCACAGAAGGUAAUAGUCCUGUAUGUUAAACGAGAAGACUUCAGAUAUGAUCCAGAGUACCACGGGACACGUGAAACCCUGUGGGAAGCAGGAGGGACCACCCUCCAAGGCUAAAUACUACCUAGUGACCGAUAGCGUAUAGUACCGUGAGGGAAAGGUGAAAAGAACCCCGGGAGGGGAG
rnacentral:rRNA from 1 species